GUGCAGCAAUCGCGAAUUUUUCUCAGUGGGGGAAACCCUGAAGGAGCGACGCCGCGUGGAGGAUGAAGGCCUUCGGGUUGUAAACUCCUGUCAUUUGAGAACAAGGAGCCGAGAGUAACUACUUCGGCUUUGAUAGUAUCAGAAGAGGAAGGGACGGCUAACUCUGUGCCAGCAGCCGCGGUAAUACAGAGGUCCCAAGCGUUGUUCGGAUUCAUUGGGCGUAAAGGGUGCGUAGGUGGCGCCAUAAGUCAGGUGUGAAAUUUCGGAGCUUAACUCCGAAACUGCAUUUGAUACUGUGGUGCUUGAGGACUGGAGAGGAGACUGGAAUUUACGGUGUAGCAGUGAAAUGCGUAGAGAUCGUAAGGAAGACCAGUGGCGAAGGCGGGUCUCUGGACAGUUCCUGACACUGAGGCACGAAGGCCAGGGGAGCAAACGGGAUUAGAUACCCGUGUAGU
rnacentral:rRNA from 1 species